UACGAAGGGGGCUAGCGUUGCUCGGAAUCACUGGGCGUAAAGGGUGCGUAGGCGGGUUUUUAAGUCAGGGGUGAAAUCCUGGAGCUCAACUCCAGAACUGCCUUUGAUACUGAAGAUCUUGAGUCCGGGGGAGGUGAGUGGAACUGCGAGUGUAGAGGUGAAAUUCGUAGAUAUUCGCAAGAACACCAGUGGCAAAGGCGGCUCACUGGCCCGGUACUGACGCUGAGGCACGAAAGCGUGGGGAGCAAACAGG
rnacentral:rRNA from 1 species